ACACUCCUGCGGGAGGCAGCAGUGGGGAAUUUUGGACAAUGGGCGAAAGCCUGAUCCAGCAAUGCCGCGUGAGUGAAGAAGGCCUUCGGGUUGUAAAGCUCUUUUGUCAGGGAAGAAACGGUGAGAGCUAAUAUCUCUUGCUAAUGACGGUACCUGAAGAAUAAGCACCGGCUAACUACGUGCCAGCAGCCGCGGUAAUACGUAGGGUGCAAGCGUUAAUAGGAAUUACUGGGCGUAAAGCGUGCGCAGGCGGUUUUGUAAGUCUGAUGUGAAAUCCCCGGGCUCAACCUGGGAAUUGCAUUGGAGACUGCAAGGCUAGAAUCUGGCAGAGGGGGGUAGAAUUCCACGUGUAGCAGUGAAAUGCGUAGAUAUGUGGAGGAACACCGAUGGCGAAGGCAGCCCCCUGGGUCAAGAUUGACGCUCAUGCACGAAAGCGUGGGGAGCAAACAGGAUUAGAUACCCGAGUAGUCCCAU
rnacentral:rRNA from 1 species